UCCCCGAUAGCUCAGUUGGUAGAGCAUUCGACUGUUAAUCGAAUGGUCCCUGGUUCGAGUCCAGGUCGGGGAGCCA
rnacentral:tRNA from 3 species